rnacentral:pre_miRNA from 1 species
UUAGUACUCUCUCCGUUCCAUAAUUUUUGUGGAAAUGUUACAUGUAUCUAGACACUUUUUAGAAAUAGAUACAUCUAUUUUUGAGCAAAUUUGUGACAAGAAUUAUGGAAUGGAGGGAGUACCAU